rnacentral:piRNA from 1 species
UAAGGAAGCUGGCAGGAGGCGAUGGUA